UGCGGGACCCGCGGGCUCUGAGUGCGCCGCCACCCUCCCGCACCGCCCUCGCACACGCAGAUACCACUUUUAAAGAAGCCGAAGCGCUGCAGCCCACCGAUGCCGAGUGAGCGCUGCCAGCUGUAGCCCUUGCUCUCCCUGUCUGCAGUUGAGCCCGGACCCUGGAAUAGAAAGACAGUUCUUGGUUGCACUGGAAGAAAGGGAAGGAAGACUCCUCUGUUCCCGAGGAAAGCAGAGCGGCUGCCCUAGUGAAGAAAUGAAGAGUCAAAGAAGUAAAGGAGGACCUAUCUCAAAAUCACGUAACUAGUAAGUCAUAUCGGCAGAUCAAUUAAAUUUUCUUCCUUUUGAAUUCUCUAUAUAAAAUGAUAGUUUUCAUUUUGGAAUAAAAUAGCAGUUCUCAUUCCCUGUUCCAUUUGUGCAGCAGCCCUAAUUUUAUACAAUUUGUAGGGUUUCUUGCUAUUUGCUAUAUUCCUUUUAGAAUUAAUGAUUUAGUUGAAGAGAUAGUGUAACACAACAGAGACAUUAACAUCUGAUUGAGAACUUUCUGUCCCGUGAUCUUAGGGAAAUUACCCUCAUUUAAUUUUCAUAAAAUAGUGUAAGAAAGGUUAUUUACUUCUGUCAAUGCAGAUAAACCAAGGCCUUAAGAUGAUUGUUGGUUUGUACAGGUAUUUAAUGUCAAAAGUACAUUAUAGCUUUUCAUCUCUAAGACAUCAAAGAUGUUGUAUUUGCUGUUGUUGAUUUUUGGAUAUGGGAAACAAUGACAAAAGUGGUAAUCAUUGAAAUUAUGUAGCCUAUUGGAUUAUAACUAUCUGUUGUGGGACAAAUAUCAAGAUACUGAAGUAGGGAAUUAAAGAUUACUUGAGUUGAUACUCUACAUGCUCUAAGACUUCUAUGCUUUUGUUUUGUCCCCCAAGUAGCAAAUUUGAAAGCUUUUUGCAGUAAAGAGCAUGGAUGCAAUUAUAUCUGUACACAGGCACAGAAAUAUUGGGAAU
rnacentral:lncRNA from 1 species